GAGAGAGAGAGAGCAAGGAUAAUUUUGUGUUAGGCUACAGCAGCUACAGAUGUAUAUUUUGUAUGAAUGUGAAAUGGUUUUAGCCUAAGGUCUUGACAUUCAGUUCAAGUCAGCACACUGCUGAACGAAAGAUUUAGCUUAGCUAUGUACAAAAUCAGUGGCAUAUAAAUACUAACUUCAAAUAAAUACAUAUACCAUUAUUUAAUAAGCAUAUCCUCUUUUUUAUGUUUGUGCACUUGGCUUUAGAGACUCAGUACCAGGUUUAUUAGUUGCUUCGACUUCACUUGGCUUCAUCGAUCGGGUCAUCUUCAAGACCCGCGUCAGGAAUCAGUCUUGUUUCCUGAUGAAUAAAUCAAAUUCACUUUGCUUAUUGAGCAGGGUUAUUGCGGAAGUGCUAAACCAGUAGGGCUCGUAAAACGCCUGGGGAAUGGGAAGCGAUUAGGUUUGAUCCCAGUAAAGGGAGGAUAGCGCAAGUUCCAUGGAUCAAAAGCCCUUCACCGUCAAAAAAGCACCACACCCCAUCAUUUAGGGAUCAGUCUCCAUGGAUCACAACUGUGUUCGGAACUCCUUUGAAGGGACUAGUAUAUAAUAUGUAGUUUAUGGUUAUAAUAAUAUUCUAAUAUACUAUUUCAUUUCCCUGUGAGACAAGCCAUCCCGAGUAGCUUCAGUUGUGCUAGAAUAAAAGUUUUCCCGCUGCAGUAAGUAAGGAAGACAUUGUGUAAUACUUGACGUUAACCUGAGGCCUGGUCUCAGACCGGGCCGCGGGGGCGUUGACCCCUGAAACCUUCUCCAGGUAUCUCCAGGUAAACCUCAUCGACCUACUGAAGUUCCAGCUCAAGCUGACAAAUUACAUUACUUCAUGAAUGUAACCCAUCCUAUGUAAUGCAAUGGCGAAAAGUAAGCCAUUUUUGUUGCCACAAUGUAAUUUACAGAGUAUGGAAGCUGCACACUGCAGGCGCACUCAAUAUUG